rnacentral:rRNA from 1 species
AAAACGACUCUCGGCAACGGAUAUCUCGGCUCUCGCAUCGAUGAAAAACGUACCGAAAUGCGAUACUUGGUGUGAAUUGCAAAAUCCCGUGAACCAUCGAGUCUUUGAACGCAAGUUGCGCCCGAAGCCAUCCGGCCAAGGGCACGUCUGCCUGGGCGU